ACUUUACUUUUAACAGUAGCUUUUGGCCUCACUUGAACCAACAACAUUUAUAUAAUGCAACUGAAGGACAACUUUGUACGUUUGACCAAAUAAGAUUUUUGCCAACUCUCCUAAGCCGGUUUUCCAUUUGCGAAUUUUUUCGUGCGAAGCGAAUAUUUCUUUCUCUUUAACCAAUUAGUUCCAGAUUAGACGGCUGGCCAAGUCAUAAUUUUGUAUAACUGGAUGGCAACUUUAUGUUAGAAGCUGGUAACCGGCAUUUUCUUAUAGUUCAUGAGCAUUGGUGAACAAGACUAUAUGUGUUACCACUUCCGAUUUUUGCUUUAUAGCCAAAAACUUGAGAAUUUUAAAAUUUUGCCUAUUAAAUUACUAUGAUCGAAAAAAAUGUAAAAUCUCAUGUUCUCUUAUACGAAAAAUAAACUAUACCACUAGAAAGAGCGCAAAAAACUAUAUAUAAGACAAUUAAAUGAGUUCUACGUUUUUCCAAUCCUAUUUCGAGUUUUUAAUUCUAAAAAAUGCAGAAAUGACCAAAUUAAUGCUAAUUAGUACCCAUUUUGCCAACUUUAACCAUCUUUAAUUCAAAAUCGGCUUGAAAAUCGCACUAGUCGCUUAAUUGUCUUUUAUAUAGUUUUUAGCGAUAUUUCUAGUGGUAUAGUUUAUUUUUUGUAUAAGAGAACAUGAAAUUUUACAUUUUUUGCCAUCAUAGUAAUUUAAUAGGCAAAAUUUUAAAAUUCUCAAAUUUUUGGCUAUAAAGAAAAAUUCAGAAGUGGUAACAUAUACAGUCUUAUGAAUUUUUUCUGUGUUGGUGUAGUGUACUCAGGUGAAUAUGAUAUUUGUGGU